UUAGGUUAAGUUAUGAAGGGCGCACGGUGGAUGCCUUGGCACUAGGAGCCGAUGAAGGACGGGACUAACACCGAUAUGCUUUGGGGAGCUGUAAGUAAGCUUUGAUCCAGAGAUUUCCGAAUGGGGAAACCCACUGUUCGUAAUGGAACAGUAUCUUUAUCUGAAUACAUAGGAUAUUGAAGGCAGACCCGGGGAACUGAAACAUCUAAGUACCCGGAGGAAGAGAAAGCAAACGCGAUUUCCCAAGUAGCGGCGAGCGAAACGGAAUUAGCCCAAACCAAGAGGCUUGCCUCUUGGGGUUGUAGGACACUCUAUACGGAGUUACAAAGGAACGGGGUAGAUGAAGCGACCUGGAAAGGUCCGUCAGAGAAGGUAAAAACCCUGUAGUCGAAACUUCGUUCCCUCCAGAGUGGAUCCUGAGUACGGCGGGACACGAGAAAUCCCGUCGGAAGCAGGGAGGACCAUCUCCCAAGGCUAAAUACUCCCUAGUGACCGAUAGUGAACCAGUACCGUGAGGGAAAGGUGAAAAGCACCCCGGAAGGGGAGUGAAAAGAUCCUGAAACCGUGUGCUUACAAGUAGUCAGAGCCCGUUAAUGGGUGAUGGCGUGCCUUUUGUAGAAUGAACCGGCGAGUUACGAUCCCGUGCAAGGUUAAGUUGAUGAGACGGAGCCGCAGCGAAAGCGAGUCUGAAUAGGGCGUUUUAGUACGUGGUCGUAGACCCGAAACCAGGUGAUCUACCCAUGUCCAGGGUGAAGUUCAGGUAACACUGAAUGGAGGCCCGAACCCACGCACGUUGAAAAGUGCGGGGAUGAGGUGUGGGUAGCGGAGAAAUUCCAAUCGAACCUGGAGAUAGCUGGUUCUCUCCGAAAUAGCUUUAGGGCUAGCCUCAAGUAUGAGAGUCUUGGAGGUAGAGCACUGAUUGGACUAGGGGCCCUCAUCGGGUUACCGAAUUCAGUCAAACUCCGAAUGCCAAAGACUUGCUCCUUGGGAGUCAGACUGCGAGUGAUAAGAUCCGUAGUCAAGAGGGAAACAGCCCAGACCACCAGCUAAGGUCCCAAAGUAUACGUUAAGUGGAAAAGGAUGUGGAGUUGCUUAGACAACCAGGAUGUUGGCUUAGAAGCAGCCACCAUUUAAAGAGUGCGUAAUAGCUCACUGGUCGAGUGACUCUGCGCCGAAAAUGUACCGGGGCUAAACGUAUCACCGAAGCUGUGGACUGUUCUUACGAACAGUGGUAGGAGAGCGUUCUAAGGGCGUUGAAGCUAGACCGUAAGGACUGGUGGAGCGCUUAGAAGUGAGAAUGCCGGUAUGAGUAGCGAAAGAGGGGUGAGAAUCCCCUCCACCGAAUGCCUAAGGUUUCCUGAGGAAGGCUCGUCCGCUCAGGGUUAGUCGGGACCUAAGCCGAGGCCGAAAGGCGUAGGCGAUGGACAACAGGUUGAUAUUCCUGUACCACCUCCUCACCAUUUGAGCAAUGGGGGGACGCAGGAGGAUAGGGCAAGCGCGCUGUUGGAUAUGCGCGUCCAAGCAGUUAGGCUGAGAAGUAGGCAAAUCCGCUUCUCAUA
rnacentral:rRNA from 1 species